rnacentral:tRNA from 1 species
GCCAGAGUGCUGGAAUGGUAGACAGGCUAGUUUCAGGAACUAGUGUUCAUUACGGGCGUAAGGGUUCGACUCCCUUCUCUGGCA